rnacentral:lncRNA from 1 species
UAUUUGCUCUUGUUCUUGAGUUAUUGUUCUUGUCUUUUAUAUUAUUUCAUAACAUAUAUAGAAUUUUACUUUCGCUUUUAUUUUUUUAUCAGCGUAGAAGAUGACUACCAAGGCAAACUGAAAGAAUAUUGAAAAACAAAACAACCGAGAGCAGCUUUUAUCCGGCCUGCUAUGACUAAUGUUAUGACACUGUAUAAUUAUCUAAGCAUGUAAAAAUAGAAAUAAAAACAAAAAAAAUCUCGCGAUGUAAGUUUUAGGGUUAAAUUUAUUUAGUGUUUGGUUGAAAGUAUUAAAAAAAUCAAGUAUUAUUUUUAUGCAAAAUUCUUGGUAUAAGAUAAUAUAUAAGGUGGAUUUAUUAUCCAAGUUAUAAUCUUGGUUGUCCCGGUUGUAAUGCCAGCAUUAUAGUCACGGGAUUUCGUGAUUUUGAUUGGGAAAUUUUCGUAGCUAUAGCAUAUAGGAAACUUCUGGGUACUAGGAGCUCGACUAUGUAUUUUUGGGGUGUGCAAUGCCGAGCAAGAUUGAUGCUCUUGCUAGUGGUUUUGUGACUGCCAGUGUGCAUUUUCUGAUGGGUCCUGUGAGCUAUUGUAGGAGAACAAUUUAAAGGUAGAAGACCUUUAAAUGUAAGAAGGAAAGAGAUUUUGUU